rnacentral:lncRNA from 1 species
UCACAUCUCCAUUAGAAAAAUCAUUUCCUUAAUUACUCUUUGUCUCUCUCUGUACAAUCUCAAACACUGCCACCGCAACCACCAAACCACCACCACCAACCACCGUUGUCUUCAUCUGUCUCCCGCCGGCAUCUCCCUUUCGGAAACAGCCAGAAGGAAGGAGGUGACUGGAGUGCAGAAACGCCGGCGACGGCGAGGCGUUUGGCGAAGGCGCAGGAGUGUAGCCUCAUAAUCUUCAACUUCAGCACGAAAGGCGUGUCUUCAUCUUCAAUUUCUCAAUCCAAAUCUCUAUAAAUAUGCAAAGUAUGAAGAAUAAAUCAUCAUACAUUUGCAAAUCUGUUUGUUUAUAUCAAUUUUGUUGUCGAUCGGAUGUAGUGAUUGAAUUUAUUGAUUAUGUAUCUUUCGAGACUUGAAUCUGUGUAUACGUUUUUUGAGCGAUGAUGCAUCGAUUGUUUUGUGGAGUUUCGGAGGUUUUUUCACUUCAUGGUGGUGGUUGUGUGUUGGUUGUAUAAUUGGAUGUCUAGCCGAGAAAGAAGAAAAAUGUUGUGAGGAGGGUAUUUUCGUAAUUAUGUCGGUGCAUUAGUGCACCGACUUUCUCCUUUAAGAUUGUACUAGGUGGACACCCAUCCGAGGGACGCGGGUACAUUGUAAACAUUGAAUGAAAGCCUACGCUUAUAUGUAAAAUAUGAUGUGAAAUUAUUUAAUGAAAUCACGUUCAGCAAACUCUUGGGCUUCGUGAAUCAUAUGCUCUCUUUUCUUGGCUUAACCGACCCUUCUGAUCGGUGAAAGUGAUCUUUUCCAAAUUUGCCACCCACAUUGUAUUCUGCCUUCAUGUUUAAUAUACUGGUGUUUACUUCGAAUGUGACUUAGAUUUGUGGCCUUGUGGGGUGCCCCUGGAUUAACAAAAGAGAGUUUUAGCCCCUCCAUAGCACAAAUGCGAUUUCAAUAUCGUUAAGACGAAAAGACAAACCUUGGAGCUAGAGGGAUUCCAGAGGGAUCAAAUGUUCCAAGAAGCCUGCAGUUCUUUGUGAGACUUCUGUCACCUUCAUAUACCUGUUACAAAAUAAAAAAUAUGAUAAUUAUUUGAUAGUUUGUUGAUAUUAAAUGUAUCAUGCAAGGGUAGUAUGGUGAUUUUGUAUAGAGCUUGUUAGAUAUAUUUUGAAUAGAUUUCUUU